AGAGUUUGAUCCUGGCUCAGGACGAACGCUGGCGGCACGCUUAACACAUGCAAGUCGAACGGUGAAGAGAAGCUUGCUUCUCGGAUCAGUGGCGGACGGGUGAGUAACACGUGAGCAACCUGCCUUUAAGAGGGGGAUAACGUUUGGAAACGAACGCUAAUACCGCAUAAUAUAGAAGAUUCGCAUGUUUCUUCUAUCAAAGAUUUAUCGCUUAAAGAUGGGCUCGCGUCUGAUUAGCUGGUUGGUGAGGUAACGGCUCACCAAGGCGACGAUCAGUAGCCGUACUGAGAGGUAGAACGGCCACAUUGGGACUGAGACACGGCCCAGACUCCUACGGGAGGCAGCAGUGGGGAAUAUUGCACAAUGGAGGAAACUCUGAUGCAGCGAUGCCGCGUGAGGGAAGAAGGUUUUCGGAUUGUAAACCUCUGUCUUCAGGGACGAUAAUGACGGUACCUGAGGAGGAAGCUCCGGCUAACUACGUGCCAGCAGCCGCGGUAAUACGUAGGGAGCGAGCGUUGUCCGGAAUUACUGGGUGUAAAGGGAGCGUAGGCGGGAUCUUAAGUCAGGUGUGAAAACUAUGGGCUCAACCCAUAGACUGCACUUGAAACUGAGGUUCUUGAGUGAAGUAGAGGCAGGCGGAAUUCCUAGUGUAGCGGUGAAAUGCGUAGAUAUUAGGAGGAACAUCAGUGGCGAAGGCGGCCUGCUGGGCUUUUACUGACGCUGAGGCUCGAAAGCGUGGGGAGCAAACAGGAUUAGAUACCCUGGUAGUCCACGC
rnacentral:rRNA from 1 species